rnacentral:rRNA from 1 species
GACGGAGGGUGCUAGCGUUGUUCGGAAUUACUGGGCGUAAAGGGCUCGUAGGCGGCCAACUAAGUCGGACGUGAAAUCCCCAGGCUCAACCUGGGAACUGCGUCCGAUACUGGAUGGCUUGAAUCCGGGAGAGGGAUGCAGAAUUCCAGGUGUAGCGGUGAAAUGCGUAGAUAUCUGGAGGAAUACCGGUGGCGAAGGCGGCAUCCUGGACCGGCAUUGACGCUGAGGAGCGAAAGCCAGGGGAGCAAACGGG